rnacentral:rRNA from 1 species
GAUGAACGCUGGCGGCGUGCUUAACACAUGCAAGUCGAACGGAAAGGCCCAAGCUUGCUUGGGUACUCGAGUGGCGAACGGGUGAGUAACACGUGGGUGAUCUGCCCUGCACUUCGGGAUAAGCCUGGGAAACUGGGUCUAAUACCGGAUAGGACCACAUUUUGGAUGGUGUGGUGGAAAGUUUUUCGGUGUGGGAUGAGCUCGCGGCCUAUCAGCUUGUUGGUGGGGUAAUGGCCUACCAAGGCGUCGACGGGUAGCCGGCCUGAGAGGGUGUACGGCCACAUUGGGACUGAGAUACGGCCCAGACUCCUACGGGAGGCAGCAGUGGGGAAUAUUGCACAAUGGGCGCAAGCCUGAUGCAGCGACGCCGCGUGGGGGAUGACGGCCUUCGGGUUGUAAACUCCUUUCGCUAGGGACGAAGCGCAAGUGACGGUAUGUGCAGAAGAAGGACCGGCCAACUACGUGCCAGCCGCCGCCGUAAUAC